CACGUAGGCACCAAGCGUUGUCCGGAUUUAUUGGGCGUAAAGAGCUCGUAGGCGGUUCGGUAAGUCGGGUGUGAAAACUCUGGGCUCAACCCAGAGCCGCCACCCGAUACUGCUGUGACUCGAGUGCGGUAGGGGAGCGGGGAAUUCCUGGUGUAGCGGUGAAAUGCGCAGAUAUCAGGAGGAACACCGGUGGCGGAAGGCGGAUCUCUGGGCCGAUACUGACGCUGAGGAGCGAAAAGCGUGGGG
rnacentral:rRNA from 1 species